UACGUAGGGUGCAAGCGUUGUCCGGAAUUAUUGGGCGUAAAGAGCUCGUAGGCGGUUUGUCGCGUCUGCUGUGAAAACCCGAGGCUCAACCUCGGGCCUGCAGUGGGUACGGGCAGACUAGAGUGCGGUAGGGGAGAUUGGAAUUCCUGGUGUAGCGGUGGAAUGCGCAGAUAUCGAGGAGAACACCGAUGGCGAAGGCAGGUCUCUGGGCUGACACUGACGCUCAUGCACGAA
rnacentral:rRNA from 1 species